rfam:Ictidomys tridecemlineatus contig059465, whole genome shotgun sequence.
AGCUUUGCACAGUGGCAGUAUCGUAGCCAAUGAGGCUUAUCCGAGGUGCGAUUAUUGCUAAUUGAAAACUUUUCCCAAGAUGACAUAUCCAGGAGCCAAGUUCUAGGUACUGAAAACAUUUACUUCAUUUCAACUCUCUAAGAU